rnacentral:rRNA from 1 species
AACCAAAAAAACAAAUGAAAAAUG